UACGUAGGCAGCGAGCGUUGUUCGGAGUUACUGGGCGUAAAGAGUGCGUAGGCGGUUUUCUAAGUUUGGUGUGAAAUCUCCCGGCUUAACUGGGAGGUGCGCCGAAGACUGGAAGGCUUGAGUAUGGGAGAGGUAAGCGGAAUUCCUGGUGUAGCGGUGAAAUGCGUAGAUAUCAGGAGGAACACCUGCGGUGUAGACGGCUUACUGGACCAUAACUGACGCUGACGGCACGAAAGCGUGGGGAGCAAACAGG
rnacentral:rRNA from 1 species